UCUUUUCUACCCCACAUUUCAACGCCUCUUUGUUGUGAGGGGGAAAGUUGGUGGGUCCUGCUACUUUGGAGGGUUUUCAGUGUUUCACUCUGCAGUCUGCCGGUGGUCGAACAACCUUUGAUUUGGUGGAUUUGGUAAUUACCCACAUGUGAGACGUGCCUGCCUGUCCUGCCAGAAGUAGUGGGAAUUCUCCCAUUCCUGGGUCAAAGACUUGGUUGGGUGCAGGAUCUGCUUGACUAGGAGCAGUAUGGAUCACUAGGUGUUUCCAAGCAGCAGGCAAAGUUUACUUAUUGCAUGACUAAACCCUGAACCCUUAGCUCAGAGGUCUUCAUCAGUAUGUUACAGAGCUCCAGUCUUCAGCAGGUCUUAAUUUUGAGUUACAAGGGCAAAUAUCUGGGCAAGGCAAACUCAAGUUGCUCUCACCCCACUCAUAUGCUGAUUUCAAUAUGUUUUAGACAAGUGACAGUGCACACUUCACAAGGAGGCACCAAAGGAUGUGUGUACUUAUUGCACCUGGCACUAAGAAUUCAAGUGCUGCCAAGUCUAUGCACUUUUUUUUUUUUUUUUUCAGAUCAAUGAUUUAGGAUAGAAGUUGUGCAGGACUAUAGUUUAAUGGGCUGUGCAAUGCCCCUGACUACUACAAUAGUCAAGCUCAGAUGUGAUGGAGAAGUUUGUUUUCUCAACAAGAAAAUUUCAGACUAAAAUGCAUUGAUUUGCAGGCAACUUCUGAAUGAGGUUUACGUCUUUUAUUAUUUUAGCUGUAAUCUCAAUAAGACAAUGUGACAACCAUUACAGUUUUGUUUUCCCCUUAUCAAAUAAGAAAUGAAACUUGGGCUUGAGCAGGGAGGUGCUAGCGGC